UUUUUUAGUACGCUGCGUUUCAUUAAGUUUUUCUUUGAUUUCUUUUUGGGCUACUAUUAAUUUUUUUUUUGUGGACAAAUGGGCUACUAUUAUUUAUAUCAACUACUUUAGGGCCUGUAAAAAAUAGAAAAUUGGGUCGGUGUAUAUGAUAUAACCUAAACCAAAAAUGUAUUGUAUUUUGAAACUCCGGCUAAUAACGAUGAAGGUAGUCGCUGCUGAAGUCUCUGUUUUUUUUUUCUUCCCCCGCUGAAGUCUCUGUUACGUACAUCAAUGGUUUCCGCCAAUUCCUGAUGGAACCCGACACCGACGUCUAAUCCAAUGGUGAUCUUCUCACUCUGAACGAAAUCCGGGAACGUUACGGAAGUCGACUGCAAUCAACCAUCGUCAUUGACUCCCUCAUUAACAACGCUUCCCCACUCCUCACACGAUUUCUUAUUCAAUGCAUUCCCCCUUUCUCUUUUGUAUGAAUCUCCAACUAUAAAUACGUGAGUUUCAUUUCGUGAAAUUCAUCAGUUCUUUCCUUUCAAUCAUUAUCAUUCCUAAAAUUUUCAGAGAAAAGAAUCCACAAGCAGAGUUCCUUGCUAGAUCAAGUAUGAAUGGUAAACUCAAGGAGAUGUAUGUCGUCUCUCUUCUUCGCGGCCGCGUGGUGACGUCUGAGUUUCCGCAUGCUAACUGAAACGGUCCGAGUUAUGUCUUUUGUUAUUAAUCCCGUUAAUUCAGUAGCCACGAUGAGGUCUUGAAUGCGUUGUCAGAUCUGUGAGGCCGUGUGUGUUGUGUAUAAAUAUAUGUUAGUAUCUCUCACUUUGAACUCAUCUUCUCUUCACAUCUCUUCUUCCUAGGUUUCGACAACAGACUAGAUUGUUCAUAUGUUUAGGCUGCGAGAAUGUGAGAAUGAGAUGGCCCAGUUUGUUUGAAGGAGUUGAUCCCACUUUAGAGGAAUGGAUCAUUGAUGAGCUGUUGUUGGAAACGAAGAUACCUUCUAUUCCAAAAUAUUUAGUUGCAGAGGGAUUAACUAUUGAUGGAAUAUUGGAGAGAUGGGAAAACAUGAAGUUGGUUAUCAUGGAGACUUGGAAUGAAGAAGAUAAAAGAUGCUUUGAUCGAUUUGUUUGGAAAAGUUGGAUGAUUGGAUUAAAAAGAACAUGACAACUUGGUUUGGUCCCAAGAGUUUCAUCGUGGAAAGAGGAGCCAUGUGGACAAUUACCUUUCAAACCAAUGAGCAGAGCUGCAGGAACACCCUAAUAAUGCUGAAAUUGCAAGCGAUAACGACAAGUCUCAACAACCAACACACAAAAGCUUAGUUGCUUCUAUUUUUUUUUUCUUCGCUGAUCUUCCUUAUUAGGAAAAUAAAGUUAUUGUUUUCCAUAUUGUUUUUCAUGAUUUGCAAAUAGGCAAAAUAGGGAGAGAGAAUUUUACAUUAUCACCAAACUGUCUCAAUUGAGUUUCACAUGUGAACCCAAAGACCAUGGGCAGUAGUUGUUUCAUAUCUAACAGAAAAGGGUUCUAUUCCUCACUGGAAUAAUUUGUGUAUAGUGAGGAAGCAUAUCAAAUAAUGAACAAAUAAUGUUCUUUUCUUUGUGAGUUACAACAUCAUUUGAAUCAGAAAUUUUUAGAGAA